rnacentral:rRNA from 1 species
GGCCCGCACAAGCGGAGGAACAUGUGGUUUAAUUCGAUGAUACGCGAGGAACCUUACCCGGGCUUGAACUGGACAGGAAGGGCGCAGAGACGCGUCCGUCUUCGGACCUGUCCGGAGGUGCUGCAUGGUUGUCGUCAGCUCGUGCCGUGAGGUGUCGGCUUAAGUGCCAUAACGAGCGCAACCCCUGUCCUCGUUUGCCAUCGGGUAAUGCCGGGCACUCCGGGGAUACUGCCACCGCAAGGUGUGAGGAAGGCGGGGAUGACGUCAAAUCAGCACGGCCCUUACGUCCGGGGCUACACACGUGUUACAAUGGGCGGUACAGAGGGCAGCCACCUGGCGACAGGGCGCCAAUCCUCAAAGCCGUUCUCAGUUCGGACUGGAGUCUGCAACCCGACUCCACGAAGCUGGAUUCGCUAGUAAUCGCGCAUCAGCCAUGGCGCGGUGAAUACGUUCCCGGGC